CUUCCACAUGAAAACUGUGUCUUGGUAGAGCAUCCAUGCUGUGAUGGUUUGUAUAUGCUUGGCCCAGGGAGCUGCGCUAUUGGAAAGUGUGGCCUUGAUGGAGAUUAGGUGUGCCACUGUGGGCGUGGGCUUUAAGACCCUCAUCCUAGCUGCCUGGAAGCCAGUCUUCUAUUAGCAGCCUUCAGAUGAAGAUGUAGAAUUCUCAACUCCUCAUACACCAUGCCUGCCUGGAUGUUGCCAUCCUCCUGCCUUCAUGAUAAUGGACUAAAUCUCUGAAUCUGUAAGCCAGCCCCAAUUAAAUGUUGUCCUUUAUAUGAGUUGCCUUAAUCAUGGUGUUUGUUCACAGCAGUAAAACGCUAACUAAGAUCCAUGACUUCUGGGCGCUAAUUAUAAAUUGUAUGAGUAUGGCAAAUACACUUCAACCGCUCUCUUACCACCUACAAGUUGGGUCAUAUCUUAUAGGUCACACAUUAUCCAAGCCUUGCCCCCAUACAAUAGAAAGAGAUUCCUAUAGUUUAGGUCACAUAUACCAUGUUAUCCAAUCUCUAUCACAUAGCAUAGAUCACAGAUUAAUUAAGCCUGCUUCCUUGCAACACAGGACCUCCACU
rnacentral:lncRNA from 1 species